rnacentral:lncRNA from 1 species
AGUCAGUGUAUCCGCCUCCACCUGAAAAAUGGUCAUAACUGGGCGUCUAGGCGUGAAGCUCAAAGCUCCUAGGUGGAACCCAAAGCUAGACAAAUGUCCCACCAAAAACGUUCCAGCCGCCUAGUUAGUGCAGAGAAAACCGGUGUUGGGGAGCACAGAAGAUACAAGACACUGAUUUCCUCCCUCCUGCGUAAAGGACCCUUAAAAUUACAUCCAUAAACGAAACAAACCUCCACAGAGACCCUUACAGUCUUCUCAUUCAAUCGACGUUUUAAAAAUAGCUUCUCGAUGUCAGAGAAAGGGGAAAAGAAGAAGAAAAGGAGAAUCUGAGGCGGUGAUUGGACAAGCAAUAGGGGAACAAACUUCAGAGGAAACGGGAAGAACCCCAGACUUCUACUUUCUUUGAUUAUUCCCAAUUUCCAGGCAAUGCUUUGGAGUGGAGGGGAGAAUUUCCAGGUGGUUUCUCUUAGGUUCAAGGGCUUCAGGGCCCCCCUAUGUGUAAUCCUUAAGAGGAGUUUGGGAAGGUAGAAGGCGACUUUAUGAGUAGAACUUUGAAUCCUGUUUCCCCGGGUGCCCCAGGUCAGGUUCUGUGUCGGAUUUCAACAGACUAGCAUCUCACCUGGAUUCUAAAGCCCGGAACACAGCCCUUUCCUCCCCAGAUUUUAAGGGAUGAUACCCUGCCUCGAAAUUCCAAGUCCACUGCAGUUUUAGCGCACUCCAAAGUAUCCUGAGGUAGCAUUUCUAAGCCUCCGCUCGCGGGGCUGCAGAGCUGUGUGAUCGUAGCUAUAGCAAUUGGAGAGCUAGAGAGAAAUAGAGGCAAGAAAGUCAGUAAAAGUGAGUGACUUCUCCCUAGGUCAGGUUUUAAAAUGUUUGGAAUGAAAAUGUGUUUUACAGGUGACAACUGAACUUCUUAGGUAUUCUCCAGUCCCACACUGCUGGAGGAAAGGGGGCGGGGGUGAGGCUUGUAAACCCAGCUGUGCAAAGUUCAAUGAAUGGAGCUGGCCUGGGAGGGAAAAAGAGAAAUACCAAUGGCAUCAUUAUGUCCCAAAGUUAACUAUUUGGAAGGUAGAGGAGACUUAAAGAAGUCUAUGUUAGAUGUAUUUGGACAGCUAACUACUAACCUUAGGUAGAACUAAUGUGGCUACUUUUUAAAAUGUCUUCUCUAUGCGGUGGAUUGAUUCGAAUGACGUUCUGAGCUCUGCUAUGCUAUUUUGCCCUUACAUUCUUAGUCUCCUGGGACUCUCUUGAGGUGUAAUUACACUUUCAAUUUGGGUAAAUUUUAUACCUAAAUUUCAACAUAAUUUGAUUACCUAUUUAGGUCAGGGUGGCUUGUAAUAAUCUCUUCUUGCGCUCAAUUAUCUUGAACCAAGGGGCAUUUUCUAACUGCAUUUGGUUGUAAAACACAUCCACAAUUCAAGCAAAUAGUUAAUUUUCAAGACAAUUUUUAAAAGUUUAUUAAAUACAUACUACAUAAUUUAAGCAAUUUUAUUUUCAAUGAGGUUUUUUCCCUCUUGACAUAUUGAAGUGUCACAUUAAAAUACAUUAUAGCUAAAUGUUCUAUGAUAUUACUGCUAAAUCAACAGAAAGCCAAUUGAUCUUGGGGAAAGGUUAAUUAAUUUGGGCUACAGGUCUCCUACUUUCGUCUGUAAUGAAAAGAAUUUCUAUUGAUCAAGGCAGGUUUUUUUGUAAAGAAACUUAAUAAGCAUUUUUCCUGGAACUAAGAUCAAUAUUUUAAAUGCCAAAACAACAGAAUUUCCUAAUUUUAUCAUUCUUGGAAUUCUCUCCUGUCGUGGUUCAUUCAAAACGGUUAAACUCGAGAAAAAAAAAAUGUUUAACAGUUUCAGUAAAAUCCGCCUUCUGAAAAAAGAAAGCAGAAGUUAAGAACUUCACUAGCAUAUGCUUAUUUUCAUCGCUUAUUAUUUCCCAUCCGUCUUUCUGAAGUGUGGGAGGCCACUAAGGGACAAUAGAAAUUGGAUUUUAUCUUUGAGAUUUGAAGGUGAUCUCGGCCGAUCUCACAGAAACCGGGCUGAGCUGCCUUCUGCUUGGGAACACUUCGGAGUUUUUAGUUGCGCUAAAUAGAAUUUCCUUAUCUUGGGCUCUUUUUUGUUUUGUUUUGUUUUCAAUCAAGGUUUAAAAGGGUUUCAGAGCUGAGCUUCUAAACACAAGGUGAAAGUCAUUAUUGAGGCUCCCCUCCCAGGAAGGCGCUGCACUCACUACCCAAAGGCCUUUCGGUGCUACUGUUUACUCCGUGGCGUGGCGGAUCCCACGGCCCCUGGAGCUUUCCACUUGGGUCAGUUGGAAGCCUUUUCCCUCCUCGCUGCCCCCGCUUCCGGCCCCUCCCCCAUCCCGAGCAAAAUUC